UACGAAGGGGGCUAGCGUUGCUCGGAAUUACUGGGCGUAAAGCGCACGUAGGCGGAUUGUUAAGUCGGGGGUGAAAUCCUGGAGCUCAACUCCAGAACUGCCUUCGAUACUGGCGAUCCCGAGUUCGGGAGAGGUGAGUGGAACUGCGAGUGUAGAGGUGAAAUUCGUAGAUAUUCGCAAGAACACCAGUGGCGAAGGCGGCUCACUGGCCCGAUACUGACGCUGAGGUGCGAAAGCGUGGGGAGCAAACAGG
rnacentral:rRNA from 1 species